AGAGUUUGAUCAUGGCUCAGAUUGAACGCUGGCGGCAGGCCUAACACAUGCAAGUCGAGCGGCAGCGGGAAGAAGCUUGCUUCUUUGCCGGCGAGCGGCGGACGGGUGAGUAAUGUCUGGGGAUCUGCCCGAUGGAGGGGGAUAACUACUGGAAACGGUAGCUAAUACCGCAUAACGUCGCAAGACCAAAGUGGGGGACCUUCGGGCCUCACACCAUCGGAUGAACCCAGAUGGGAUUAGCUAGUAGGUGGGGUAAUGGCUCACCUAGGCGACGAUCCCUAGCUGGUCUGAGAGGAUGACCAGCCACACUGGAACUGAGACACGGUCCAGACUCCUACGGGAGGCAGCAGUGGGGAAUAUUGCACAAUGGGGGAAACCCUGAUGCAGCCAUGCCGCGUGUGUGAAGAAGGCCUUCGGGUUGUAAAGCACUUUCAGCGGGGAGGAAGGCGAUGGCGUAAAUAGCGCCAUCGAUUGACGUUACCCGCAGAAGAAGCACCGGCUAACUCCGUGCCAGCAGCCGCGGUAAUACGGAGGGUGCGAGCGUUAAUCGGAAUUACUGGGCGUAAAGCGUACGCAGGCGGUCUGUUAAGUCAGAUGUGAAAUCCCCGGGCUCAACCUGGGAACUGCAUUUGAAACUGGCAGGCUAGAGUCUCGUAGAGGGGGGUAGAAUUCCAGGUGUAGCGGUGAAAUGCGUAGAGAUCUGGAGGAAUACCGGUGGCGAAGGCGGCCCCCUGGACGAAGACUGACGCUCAGGUACGAAAGCGUGGGGAGCAAACAGGAUUAGAUACCCUGGUAGUCCACGCUGUAAACGAUGAAUGUUAAAUAUGGGAAGUUUUACUUUCUGUAUUACAGCUAACGCGUUAAACAUUCCGCCUGGGGACUACGGUCGCAAGAUUAAAACUCAAAGGAAUUGACGGGGACCCGCACAAGCGGUGGAGCAUGUGGUUUAAUUCGAUGCAACGCGAAAAACCUUACCACUCCUUGACAUGGAAAUUAUACCUAUUCGAAGGGAUAGGGUCGGUUCGGCCGGGUUUCACACAGGUGUNGCUCGUGUCGUGAGAUGUUGGGUUAAGUCCCGCAACGAGCGCAACCCUCAUCCUUAGUUACCAUCAGGUAAUGCUGGGGACUUUAAGGAAACUGCCAGUGAUAAACUGGAGGAAGGUGGGGAUGAUGUCAAGUCAUCAUGGCCCUUAUGGAGUGGGCUACACACGUGCUACAAUGGUGGCUACAAUGGGCUGCAAAGUCGCGAGGCUAAGCUAAUCCCUUAAAAGCCAUCUCAGUUCGGAUUGUACUCUGCAACUCGAGUGCAUGAAGUUGGAAUCGCUAGUAAUCGUGGAUCAGCACGCCACGGUGAAUACGUUCUCGGGUCUUGUACACACUGCCCGUCACGCCAUGGGAAUUGGUUUCACUCGAAGCUAACGACCUAACCGCAAGGAGGGAGUUAUUUAAAGUGGGAUCGGUGACUGGGGUGAAGUCGUAACAAGGUAGCAGUAGGGGAAUCUGCAGCUG
rnacentral:rRNA from 1 species